rnacentral:rRNA from 1 species
UGUAGUCAUAUGCUUGUCUCAAAGAUUAAGCCAUGCAUGUCUAAGUAUAAGCAAUCAUACUGUGAAACUGCGAAUGGCUCAUUAAAUCAGUUAUCGUUUAUUUGAUAGUACCUUUACCUGGAUAACCGUGGUAAUUCUAGAGCUAAUACAUGCUAAAAACCUCGACUUCGGAAGGGGUGUAUUUAUUAGAUAAAAAACCAAUGCCCUUCGGGGCUCCUUGGUGAUUCAUAAUAACUUAACGAAUCGCAUGGCCUUGCGCCGGCGAUGGUUCAUUCAAAUUUCUGCCCUAUCAACUUUCGAUGGUAAGAUAGUGGCUUACCAUGGUCUCAACGGGUAACGGGGAAUUAGGGUUCUAUUCCGGAGAGGGAGCCUGAGAAACGGCUACCACAUCCAAGGAAGGCAGCAGGCGCGCAAAUUACCCAAUCCCAAUUCGGGGAGGUAGUGACAAUAAAUACUGAUACGGGGCUCUUUCGGGUCUCGUAAUUGGAAUGAGUACAAUCUAAAUCCCUUAACGAGGAACAAUUGGAGGGCAAGUCUGGUAAUCGAAUCCCGCGGCCGCC